CACGUAGGGCGCAAGCGUUGUCCGGAAUUAUUGGGCGUAAAGAGCUCGUAGGCGGUCUGUUGCGUCCGCUGUGAAAACUCGGGGCUUAACCCCGAGCCUGCAGUGGAUACGGGCAGACUAGAGUUCGGUAGGGGAGACUGGAAUUCCUGGUGUAGCGGUGAAAUGCGCAGAUAUCAGGAGGAACACCGGUGGCGAAGGCGGAUCUCUGGGCCAUUACUGACGCUGAGGAGCGAAAGCGUGGGGAGCGAACAGG
rnacentral:rRNA from 1 species